rnacentral:rRNA from 1 species
AUUGAACGCUGGCGGCAGGCCUAACACAUGCAAGUCGAGCGGAUGAAGGGAGCUUGCUCCUGGAUUCAGCGGCGGACGGGUGAGUAAUGCCUAGGAAUCUGCCUGGUAGUGGGGGAUAACGUCCGGAAACGGGCGCUAAUACCGCAUACGUCCUGAGGGAGAAAGUGGGGGAUCUUCGGACCUCACGCUAUCAGAUGAGCCUAGGUCGGAUUAGCUAGUUGGUGGGGUAAAGGCCUACCAAGGCGACGAUCCGUAACUGGUCUGAGAGGAUGAUCAGUCACACUGACACUGAGACACGGUCCAGACUCCUACGGGAGGCAGGAGUGGAGAAUAUUAGACAAUGGGCGAACGCCUGAUCCAGCCAUGCCGCGUGUGAAGAAGGUCUUCGGAUUGUAAAGCACUUUAAGUUGGGAGGAAGGGCAGUAAGUUAAUACCUUGCUGUUUUGACGUUACCAACAGAAUAAGCACCGGCUAACUUCGUG